AAUCAACGCUGGCGGCGCGCCUAACACAUGCAAGUCGAACGAGAAAGUGGAGCAAUCCAUGAGUACAGUGGCGUACGGGUGAGUAACACGUGGGUGAUCUACCUUUUAGUGAGGAAUAACCGAGGGAAACUUUGGCUAAUACCGCAUAAGCCCGAGAGGGGAAAGUCGAAAGACGCUGAAAGAGGAGCCCGCGGCCGAUUAGCUAGUUGGUGAGGUAAGAGCCCACCAAGGCAGAGAUCGGUAGCCGGCCUGAGAGGGCACACGGCCACACUGGCACUGAAACACGGGCCAGACUCCUACGGGAGGCAGCAGUGGGGAAUCUUGCACAAUGGGGGAAACCCUGAUGCAGCGACGCCGCGUGAGCGAUGAAGCCCUUCGGGGUGUAAAGCUCUUUCGGCAGGGAAGAUAGUGACGGUACC
rnacentral:rRNA from 1 species